GCUUACGGCCAUACCACCUUAGGCACGCCCGAUCUCGUCUGAUCUCGGAAGCUAAGCAGGGUCGGGCCUGGUUAGUACUUGGAUGGGUGACCGCCUGGGAAUACCAGGUGCUGUAAGUA
ensembl:rRNA 5S_rRNA 5S ribosomal RNA